rnacentral:rRNA from 1 species
GGAAACGAUUCUAGUUUACUAGAAGGCGUCGAGCGGCGGACGGGUGAGUAAUGCUUGGGAAUAUGCCUUUAGGUGGGGGACAACAGUUGGAAACGACUGCUAAUACCGCAUAAUGUCUACGGACCAAAGGAGGGGAUCUUCGGACCUUUCGCCUUUAGAUUAGCCCAAGUGAGAUUAGCUAGAUGGUGGGGUAAUGGCCUACCAUGGCGACGAUCUCUAGCUGGUUUGAGAGGAUGAUCAGCCACACUGGGACUGAGACACGGCCCAGACUCCUACGGGAGGCAGCAGUGGGGAAUAUUGCACAAUGGGCGAAAGCCUGAUGCAGCCAUGCCGCGUGUGUGAAGAAGGCCUUCGGGUUGUAAAGCACUUUCAGUAGGGAGGAAAGGGUAGUCGCUAAUAUCGGCUAUCUGUGACGUUACCUACAGAAGAAGCACCGGCUAACUCCGUGCCAGCAGCCGCGGUAAUACGGAGGGUGCGAGCGUUAAUCGGAAUUACUGGGCGUAAAGCGUGCGUAGGCGGAUUGUUAAGCGAGAUGUGAAAGCCCAGGGCUCAACCUUGGAACUGCAUUUCGAACUGGCUGUCUAGAGUAUUGUAGAGGGUGGUGGAAUUUCCAGUGUAGCGGUGAAAUGCGUAGAGAUUGGAAGGAAC